rnacentral:misc_RNA from 1 species
AACGCACGAGACCUGCGGACCUGCGGAAGGAUCAUUAGUGAACGCCCUCACGGGCUUAUAACUAUUCCAAACCUCUGCGAACCGUGCCCUUCGGGGCUAUUUUACAAACAUGGUGUAAUGAACGUCAUAUAUCAUAACAAAACAAAACUUUUAGCAAUGGAUCUCU